UUAGUGGCGGAAGGGUGAGUAAUACAUAGGUAACGUACCUUGGACACGGGAAUAACAGCGGGCCGCAAGGCCCUUUGCGAAAGUGCUGCUAAUGCCCGAUGAAGUCGCGGAGUCGCAUGGCUCUGCGUCCAAAAGGUGGGGACCGCAAGGCCUACUGGUCUGAGAGCGGCCUAUGUCCUAUCAGCUAGUUGGUGAGGUAACGGCCCACCAAGGCAACGACGGGUAGCCGGACUGAGAGGUCGGACGGCCACAUCGGGACUGAGACACUGCCCGGACACCUACGGGUGGCUGCAGUAACGAAUAUUGGGCAAUGGGCGCAAGCCUGACCCAGCGACGCCGCGUGCAGGACGAAGUCCUUCGGGAUGUAAACUGCUGUUAGGGUUCCGCAAGCAAUGCGGGUGAACAAUCCGCAAAGUUGAGCAGGCCCCAAGGAAGCCUCGACUAACUCUGUGCCAGCAGUCGCGGUAAUACAGAGGAGGCAAGCGUUGUUCGGAAUCAUUGGGCUUAAAGCGCGUGUAGGCGGAUCAUCAAGUGCCUUGUGAAACCUCUCGGCUCAACCGAGAGACUGCUUGGCAGACUGGUGAUCUUGAGGCCGGUAGAGGUGCCUGGAACUCUAGGUGGAGCGGUGAAAUGCGUAGAUAUCUAGAGGAACACCUGAGGCGAAAGCGGGGCACUGGGCCGGUUCUGACGCUGAUAUGCGAAAGCGUGGGGAGCAAACAGGAUUAGAUACCCUGGUAGUCCACGCCGUAAACGAUGCACACUAGGCUUGAGGACCUCUUACGGAUCUCGAGCCGGAGUAAAAAUGAUAAGUGUGCCGCCUGGGGAGUACGGCCGCAAGGCUAAAACUCAAAGGAAUUGACGGGGGCUCACACAAGCGGUGGAGCAUGUGGCUUAAUUCGAAGCAACGCGAAGAACCUGACCCGGGUUUGACAUGGUUGGAUGUUUUUCGGGGAUAACUCGAAAAAUUGCCCUUCGGGGUGAAACUUCCACAGGUGUUGCAUGGCUGUCGUCAGCUCGUGCUGUGAAGUGUCGCGUUAAGUCGCUUAACGAGCGAAACCCUUGUCGCUAGUUGCCAGCGGGUAAUGCCGGGGACUCUAGCGAGACUGCCGGCGUCAAGCCGGAGGAAGGCGGGGAUGACGUCAAGUCAUCAUGGCCUUUAUGCCCGGGGUUGCGCACGUGCUACAAUGGUCGGUACAAAGCGAAGCAAGACCGCGAGGUGGAGCAAAUCGCAAAAAACCGACCUCAGUUCAGAUCGGAGGCUGCAAUUCGCCUCCGUGAAGUUGGAAUCGCUAGUAAUCGCGUAUCAGCUACGACGCGGUGAAUAUGUUCCUGAGCCUUGCACA
rnacentral:rRNA from 1 species